rnacentral:lncRNA from 1 species
CUGCAUUCUUCAUACCAAAAUCAACGCAAGACAUAAUCUGUCAUCUCGUGUCCAUUAGCGAGUAUAAAAGCAGCUCCUUUGUGGAGAACAGUCAAACGUUAAUUUCUCUUUACUCAAUUUGGAUCCAGAAGCCUUAUUCAAAGCCAUGUCUGGAGUCAAAGGAGGUCACAAGGAUCAACCAAAAGAUGUUGGUCAAUAUGAGAAGCACCAGGCGGACACAAAGAAGGAUAGCAGUACACCACAGCGUAAGUUAUUCACUAUGAAAAAUAAAUAAAUAGAAAAAUUACUUGAAGUAAAUAUUUUUCAUACCUGAUACAGAUGCAUCUUAAAUGAUAUAUCUUUCAGUUUUAAUUUAUUUAUUUUGCUUUUUGAGCAAAGAUGUCAAAUAUGUUCCUUAAAUUUUACAACCCCGUUUGUUCUGAAGGUUUGGCUCUGUCAUAGCUAUGGAUAUGAUGUUUGUUUAUGGUCCACCAUAUUGUUUGAAGAUGGAAAUACUUUAUAGUUCCAUAAUAAUUGCUGGACUUCAACGCGAAUUCCCAUUGGACAGUUGAAUGGCAACAAUAAUGAGAACUUCAGUAAUGGGAAAAUGUUAGCACUUCAAAACACCCCUAGAAUUAUCUCUGGUGUUUACUACUCUAAAUUGGAGAAGCAUUCAAGACAACACCCUUAUAUUUCGCAGCCGUUAAUGGUAUAUAUUGAUGGUGGGUCUAGGGAAAAUGGUAAAAUAAUUUAAAUUUGUUAUUAAUUAUUGCUGUCAUGUUUCAAUAUAGGUAAGAGAAAAAAUAAAUAUGUAUAAAUAUAAAUUUUAACUAUAAAAAAAGACAUUUAAAUCCCUAAAUUGCUGAUUAUUUCAUUGCCUUUGUAGCGCAGACUUGCAGUUUUUGGAAAGCAUGGUUUGUUACUUUUGUAGAAGCAGAAAAAUGUGAAUGACUUGCUAUCUUUUAUUAUUUGAGUUUAUUAGUUUGUGCAUGUAUUUCAAUGUUUUAUCUGUACAAUGCAUUUCAAAAAAAGUAUGGAGUGCAAUGAAAAAUGAAAAAAGCAUAGAGUGCAAUAUCCAAGAACACAUGCAGGAGAAUAGAGUUAAAGCAAUACUUCCAGACAAUUCAUGUAAAAUGGAGACUAUACCCUGAUAUGUUUACAAGUACACAUUAGGUUAUUAAUACAGGAUUACUUCUACUGUGACUACUUUGACUAGUAACUAUGAGUUAUUAUCAUGGAUGUAGUGAUGUGAAUUUGUUAAAAAUAUGUGAACACCAAGGUGCCACAAAGAAAAUCAAUACAAAGAAUAAAGAUCAUAUAGGACUAACAAAUAUCCCAUAAUGGUCAAAUAUAAAAUGCGUAUGUAAAUCUAUAAUAUUUAAACUGAUGAUAUAUUUUUGAAAUUCUUUUUGUAUUUUUAUGAAGUUCAAAUAUGUCUAUGUGUGUUUGUUAUUAGUAGAUCCAGUGGAACCUGUGGUACCUCAGCCAACUGCAUGCCAGCCAGCUAAGCAUCAACCAGCUGUGAGUCAGCCAGCCCAAACUCAGCCAGCUGUGAGUCAGCCAGCCCAAACUCUGCCAGCAAAGAGCCAACAAUCUGUGAGCAAACCAACCCAAACUCAGCCAGCCAAGAGCCAACCAGCUGUCAGUCAACCAGCUGUGAGUCAACCAACCCAAAAUCAGCCAGCUGUGAACCAACCAGCCCAAACUCAGCCAGCCAAAAGCCAACCAGCUGUGAACCAACCAGCCCAAACUCAGCCAGCCAAAAGCCAACCAGCUGUGAGCAAACCAGCUGAAACACAGCCAGCCAAGAGCCAACCAGCUGUUAGCCAACCAGCUGUGAGUCAAGCAGCUCAAACUCAGCCAGCCAAGAGCCAACCAGCUAUGAGUCAACCAUCCCAAACUCAGCCAGCCAAGAGCCAACCAGCUAUCAGUCAACCAGCUGUGAGUCAACCAACCCAAACUCAGCCAGCUGUGAACCAACCAGCCCAAACUCAGCUAGCCAAGAGCCAAUCAGCUGUGAACCAACCAGCCCAAACUCAGCUAGCCAAGAGCCAAUCAGCUGUGAGUCAACAAGCCCAAACUCAGCCAGCUGUGAACCAACCAGCCCAAACUCAGCUAGCCAAGAGCCAAUCAGCUGUGAGUCAACCAGCCCAAACUCAGCCAGCUAAUAGCCAACCAGCUGUGAGCAAACCAGCUGAAACACAGCCAGCCAAGAGCCCACCAGCAAUUAGCCAACCAGCUGUGAGUCAACCAGCCCAAACUCAGCCGGCCAAGAGUCAACCAGCAAUGAGUCAACCAACCCAAGCUCAGCCAGCCAAGAGUCAACCAGCUGUGAGCAAACCAGCUGAAACACAGCCAGCCAAUAGUCAACCAGCUGUGAGUCAACCAACCCAAGCUCAGCCAGCCAAGAGCCAAUCAACUGUGAGCCAAGCAGCUGUAAGUCCACCAGCCAAAACGCCACCAGCCAUCAGCCAGCCAGCUAGGAGUCAACCAGCCCAAACUCAGCCAGCAAACAGCCAGCCAGCUGUGAGCCAACCAGCUGUGAGUCAAUCAGCCAAGAGUCAGCCAGCCAAGAGUCAGCCAGCCAGUCAUGUAUAGUCAGUUUACAUGAAAUAAGAAUUUAGAAUUUAAGGCUGCAAGGAAGCUUGUGCUUGAAAAUAAUUGCAUGCCAAUAUAUGCUGCUUAUUUACUGAUUAAAUCUCUUAUUCUGUUUACUAUCAAAUUAACUUAAUCAUAAUAAAUUAAAUUAUUUAACGCAA